UGAAUGUAUGGCCUUUGGGGAAGGACUGUAACUCAGUGGCGGAGAAACUGUGCUUUACAUGCAGAAGGUCCCAGGUUUGACCCAGCUGAAAUUCAAGAGAGACGCUUCCAGUCACUGUAGUUUUGAGCUAAAUGCACCAUUGGUUUGACUCAAUGUAAGGCAGGUUUCUGUAUGAAUGAGGCCAUCGGUCCGCCUAGCGCAAUCCGGUCAGCUUUUCAGCAGAAGAGCUUAUUCAUUGCAUUUUAAUUCCACAUUUUCCUCCCAAGGAGUACAUGGUUCACCCCGCUCCUCAUUUAACCUCUACAACAACCCUGUGAGGUAGGUUAUGAGGCUGCGACUGGGCCUACCUAGGUCACCCAAUGAGCUUCAUGACUGAGUGUGGAUUUGAACCCUGAUCGCUCAGGUCCUAGUCCGACACUCUUAACCACUACACCACACUGGCUUCCUAGAGUUCGUCUGCUAUGGGGCAGCUCUAUAAAUCACGUAUGUAAAUAAAUAUGGGGAAAGAGAAAUGUCAGUUAGAGAAGGAUCUGAAAUAUUUUCCUUGAACCUUGAUUUUGUUUUGUUCUGGAUUGUUUUAUUUGGUGUGUUAUGUAAGCCGCUUUGAGAUUUGUUCUUUAAAAUAUAAAGCGGCAUAAAAAUGAAAUGAACAACAACAUUCACCAGGGGGAAGCAGCUUAAUAAAGUUUGGGAUUUGGCUAUAAUAAUAUCCUUCACAGAGAUGUUGUGAAGCUAAAAAGGGUACCAUUCCAAGCAAAAGAAGCCUGUCCAAAGUAUAAGGUGCCUAAUAGUAUUUAUAUAGCAUCCCAGCCACUUGACAUACAUUAUUUUGCUGUAAUGCUUGCAACAGCCCUGUAAGGUAGGGUCAAUACUAUUAGCUUCAUGUUGCAAAUUGGGGGGUGGGGUGGCCUUACGGCGGCCAAGAGUGAUUUGAAGGAGGGUGCAAGAGAGAUUUUGUAGAGGAAAGUCUUAAAAAGCAUUUUUUCCUGAUGCACAUUUAGGUUCCCAGGAACUGAAUUCUUGAGGGAGGUAUGUGUGUAGUAGUGAGAUACCUUACUACAGAGAGUAAAAGAAUCAGAAUGGAAGGGUUAGGACAUCAGUUCUCUAGUCAGGGUUGUUGUUAACACACAGCAUUGCGUUAAAAAGCAGUCGUCUCUGCUCCCUUUGUGCAUUAUGCGGUUUAUGACAUUCCACAUACGCAUCUUUCCAACAUUCCAUUUUUUUCAAAAAAAUAUAAUUGACCUAGUAUUUAUUUCCAAGGCACCCUGCUGCCUACUGUAUUCCAGGCAGUGGCCCAGAACAGCCUACAAGCCAGGACCCCUCCAUGCCAACGAAGGGAGAGGACAGGAGGAGUGUGCAAGGCAGCCCAGCUAGCCGAAAGGCGUUUAUUUAGGCCAGCUCUUAACUGCAACUUGUUGCAGAUAAGGGAAUUCUCAAACGGUCUCCCCCUGGCAUAGCUGUGGGGGUGAAGGAUCCCUCAGGAUCUAGGACUGAAUUGGAGACAUUCGUGAACAUGAUCGCUUUGGUGAGGGUGCUGUUACUGUUCAGCACAGACUUGCAUAUCUAUAUAUGAGAACGAAUCUCUCCCACGAAACACUUGUUUUGCAUUAAACCAAUAAGGAAUUCAUCAUAACGAUACCAAGCCAGCCCGUUUCCUUGUGGUUUGGCAAAGAACGUUUAAGACACCCAGCUUCAGGAUGUACAUUCCCUCACAAUCCGACAGGCACACUUCCAUGUUUUGGUUCGACUUACCGCACUUCUCUCCCAGAAGAUUAAACCUUUUCUUUCUUUCUAUCUUUUGCUCAAGCGUUGCCGCUACGCGGUGUUUCAAAUAUUACCCGUAAUGCCAGCAAAAAACAAAAUGAAAAAUACAGUGCGAGGAAAAGCAGGGCAAGAUCGUGUAAGCCCAAGUACUAGGCCCAUAGAAGGGUAUAAGAAGUCGGUCAUAACAGGAACUCCCUAAGUGUACAUGGGAAAUUUAAUGCUCCUGAGCUCUGUGGCCCUUCCUCUCCCCACCCCACCCCACUCCUCUCCCUGCUUCCUAGACUAAAUCAGCUGUACUACGACUCAAGCCAGUCACACAGGGGAACACACAUAAAAGUUGUGGUAUAGUGGUGAUGCCCAUUAAACCAGGGGUCAGCAAACUUUUCCAGCAGGGGGCCGGUCCACUGUCCCUCAGACCUUGUCGGGGGCUGGAACAUAUUUUGAAAAAAUAAUAAUAAUGAAUUCCUAUGCCCCACAAAUAACCCAGAGAUGCAUUUUAAAUAAAAGGACACAUUCUACUCAUGUAAAAACACCAGGUAGGCCCCACAAAUAACCCAGAGAUUCAUUUUAAGUAAAAGGACACAUUCUACUCAUGUAAAAACAUGCUGAUUCCCCGACCAUCCGCGGGCCAGAUUGAGAAGGCGAUUGGGCCGGAUCCUGCUCCUGGGCCUUAGUUUGCCUACUCAUGGAUUAAACACCAGGGAGAACCUUCUGAUAGUAAGAACCAUUUGACAGCGGAAGUCUCCCUCGAAGGUUUUUAAGCAGGGAUUGGAUGGCCAGCUGCCAUGUAUGAUCUAGUUGAGAUUGAUGCACUGCGGGGGUUCUGCUAGAUGACCCCCCGGGUCCCUUUCAACUCUACAUUUCUAUGAUUCUGUGAUUCUCCCGUGUGCCAUCUCCCACCCUGCCGUUGACUCAUUGGUUGCACCCUGAGACGGCUGCUUUAUUCCGUCUGCUUUGCCGGUGCCUGUAGCUCUUAAAAGUAUAUAACCGUAGCCUUUUCUCAUUACUCAGCCUGGAAAAUUCUCUUGGUUUUCUGAAGGAAUACGGCUGCUGCGUCUUGGAGGGCUGAGGGGACCUGGCUGGGGGUGGGCGGAGGGUUUGAGGAGAAUAGCAUAGAUUUCUUGCAGUAUCUGAUAAGCCGCGCUUGCGGCAAAAUAG